UACGAAGGGGGCUAGCGUUGCUCGGAAUCACUGGGCGUAAAGGGUGCGUAGGCGGGUCUUUAAGUCAGGGGUGAAAUCCUGGAGCUCAACUCCAGAACUGCCUUUGAUACUGAGGAUCUUGAGUCCGGGAGAGGUGAGUGGAACUGCGAGUGUAGAGGUGAAAUUCGUAGAUAUUAGGAAGAACACCCGUGGCUAAGGCGGCUCUCUAGUACGGUACUGACGCUGAGACGCGAAAGCGUGGGGAGCGAACAGG
rnacentral:rRNA from 1 species